UACGGGGGGGGAGCAGUCGUUGUCGGAUUACUGGGCGUAAAGGGCGCGUAGGCGGCCAACUAAGUCGGAUGUGAAAUCCCCAGGCUUAACCUGGGAACUGCAUCCGAUACUGGAUGGCUUGAAUUCGGGAGAGGGAUGCAGAAUUCCAGGUGUAGCGGUGAAAUGCGUAGAUAUCUGGAGGAAUACCGGUGGCGAAGGCGGCAUCCUGGACCGAGAUUGACGCUGAUGAGCGAAAGCUAGGGGAGCAAACGGGG
rnacentral:rRNA from 1 species